AGUUCUGGACUUUACAUUGCGCACGCACUAUUUCCUCUAGCCCUCCCCCACGCCUUUGGUCCGCUGGUGGGCUCUACGUCUUCCCCAAAGUGUGAGGCGCAGUUUAUUGUUGUGCAGGUACUCCGAUUGAGAAUGAGCCCUGGAAUAAGAAAGGCACCCCGGGCUCUUGUCCUGACCCGCCUAGUGACCGUAGCCUUGUCAUUACUCUCUCCUAAGGGGUUUCCUCACAUGAAACAGAAAGUGAGAUUUCUAAACCAAAAACGUUUAUUGGAGACCGCGGUGGGUCCAGCAGCCUUGCUGCCAUCCCGCCCCCGGGAACCGGGAGUCUUGUGUCCGCUCCCCUGAUGAGGGUCACCUCUUCCGGCUUGGCUCCCUCUGCUCUCUCGCCCCUUCCCCUGAGGACUUCUCGGGCUCGGACCCUAAGCCCCGGGUGGCGAGAGCCUGGUGAUAUUCAGUUCCAGGUAGCUGCUGAAACAGAAGGCUGAGGAAAGCUUUCAUAUACUGACUGCCACUGCCAAAUACAACUUCAGCACCAAGAUAAGAGUUAACCCAUAUGGACUCGGACUGUCUGAGCAAAGAGCAUCGGAGAAUAAGAUCGCCCAUCCUUGGGCACAGUGGCACAGAAAUUCUCCUCGUCGCUGGAUGGCCAGCAUCAGAGAGACACAAUGUGGAAAAGAAUAGGUCAAACAAAGGACAUGUAUACUGUGGUUCAGAAAAGGUCUCCUAUUACCUAUAAGCCACGAUUGUAAAUGUAAUAUAGGAAGACUACAUGCAACUCUCUGGAUGAAAAGCCUAGUGAGUUUUUUCCUACAGUUUUAAAAAUUAUAUUUAUUUUUCUUAUAAAUCUAGAGCCUCUCAAAUUUAACUCUAUGGUGGGCAAAUGAUUUAUUACCCUUAAGAUUUCUCCACACAUUGCAUCAUACAAAAUCUCAUUGGGGUAAAGUUCAAAUUUUCAAAACAUGCUUUUAAAGAAAUUACAAAUACAUCAUUACAUUCCUGUUUCCACAAAAUUACCAUUCUUCCACCCCACAACCAAUACCACAUUAAAAAAAAAAUCAUAUCAGCCUUCUCUCUGAUCUGAAAAGAUCUACUUUCAUGUACC